GCGGCAUGCCUAACACAUGCAAGUCGAACGGAAACGAUGCUAGCUUGCUAGCAGGCGUCGAGUGGCGGACGGGUGAGUAAUGUAUAGGGAUCUGCCUAGUAGUGGGGGACAACGUGUGGAAACGCACGCUAAUACCGCAUACGCUCUACGGAGGAAAGUGGGGGACCUUUCGGGGCCUCAUGCUACUAGAUGAACCUAUAUUGGAUUAGCUUGUUGGUAAGGUAAUGGCUUACCAAGGCGACGAUCCAUAGCUGGUUUGAGAGAAUGAUCAGCCACACUGGGACUGAGACACGGCCCAGACUCCUACGGGAGGCAGCAGUGGGGAAUAUUGCACAAUGGAGGAAACUCUGAUGCAGCAAUGCCGCGUGUGUGAAGAAGGCCUUCGGGUUGUAAAGCACUUUCAGACGUGAGGAAAAGUUAUAACUUAAUACGUUGUAACCUUGACGUUAACGUCAGAAGAAGGACCGGCUAACUCCGUGCCAGCAGCCGCGGUAAUACGGAGGGUCCAAGCGUUAAUCGGAAUUACUGGGCGUAAAGCGCGCGUAGGCGGAUAUUUAAGUCAGAUGUGAAAUCCCUGGGCUCAACCUAGGAACUGCAUUUGAUACUGGAUAUCUAGAGUAUGGUAGAGGUGAGUGGAAUUUCAGGUGUAGCGGUGAAAUGCGUAGAGAUCUGAAGGAACAUCAGUGGCGAAGGCGACUCACUGGGCCAUUACUGACGCUGAGGUGCGAAAGCGUGGGUAGCAAACAGGAUUAGAUACCCUGGUAGUCCACGCCCUAAACGAUGUCAACUAGGUGUAUGGG
rnacentral:rRNA from 1 species